GAAGAGCAGAAGGCAGGACUGAGUGA
rnacentral:piRNA from 1 species